CCUACGGGAGGCUGCAGUAGGGAAUCUUCCACAAUGGGCGCAAGUCUGAUGGAGCAACGCCGCGUGGGUGAAGAAGGUUUUCGGAUCGUAAAACUCUGUUGUUAGAGAAGAAAGAGUGCUAGAGUAACUGUUAGCGCCUUGACGGUAUCUAACCAGAAAGCCACGGCUAACUACGUGCCAGCAGCCGCGGUAAUACGUAGGUGGCAAGCGUUGUCCGGAUUUAUUGGGCGUAAAGCGAACGCAGGCGGUUGCUUAAGUCUGAUGUGAAAGCCUCCGGCUCAACCGGGGAGGGUCAUUGGAAACUGGGGGACUUGAGUGCAGAAGAGGAGAGUGGAAUUCCAGGUGUAGCGGUGAAAUGCGUAGAUAUAUGGAGGAACACCAGUGGCGAAGGCGACUCUCUGGUCUGUAACUGACGCUGAGGCUCGAAAGCGUGGGUAGCAAACAGGAUUAGAUACCCGAGUAGUC
rnacentral:rRNA from 1 species